rnacentral:rRNA from 1 species
UACGUAGGGUGCAAGCGUUGUCCGGAAUUAUUGGGCGUAAAGAGCUCGUAGGCGGUUUGUCGCGUCUGCUGUGAAAACUCAGGGCUUAACCCUGAGCCUGCAGUGGGUACGGGCAGACUAGAGUGUGGUAGGGGAGAUCGGAAUUCCUGGUGUAGCGGUGGAAUGCGCAGAUAUCAGGAGGAACACGGUGGCGAAGGCGGAUCUCUGGGCCAUAACUGACGCUGAGGAGCGAAAGCAUGGGGAGCGAACAGG